GAAAUGCGAUAAGUAAUGUGAAUUGCAGAAUUCAGUGAAUCAUCGAAUCUUUGAACGCACAUUGCGCCCGCCAGUAUUCUGGCGGGCAUGCCUGUUCGAGCGUCAUUACAACCCUCAGGCCCCCGGGCCUGGCGUUGGGGAUCGGCGGAAGCCCCCUGCGGGCACAACGCCGUCCCCCAAAUUCAGUGGCGGUCCAGCCGCAGCUUCCAUUGCGUAGUAGCUAACACCUCGCAACUGGAGAGCGGCGCGGCCACGCCGUAAAACACCCAACUUCUGAAUGUUGACCUCGAAUCAGGUAGGAAUACCCGCUGAACUUAAGC
rnacentral:misc_RNA from 1 species